AUUGAACGCUGGCGGCAGGCCUAACACAUGCAAGUCGAGCGGAUGAAGGGAGCUUGCUCCUGGAUUCAGCGGCGGACGGGUGAGUAAUGCCUAGGAAUCUGCCUGGUAGUGGGGGAUAACGUCCGGAAACGGGCGCUAAUACCGCAUACGUCCUGAGGGAGAAAGUGGGGGAUCUUCGGACCUCACGCUAUCUGAUGAGCCUAGGUCGGAUUAGCUAGUUGGUGGGGUAAAGGCCUACCAAGGCGACGAUCCGUAACUGGUCUGAGAGGAUGAUCAGUCACACUGGAACUGAGACACGGUCCAGACUCCUACGGGAGGCAGCAGUGGGGAAUAUUGGACAAUGGGCGAAAGCCUGAUCCAGCCAUGCCGCGUGUGUGAAGAAGGUCUUCGGAUUGUAAAGCACUUUAAGUUGGGAGGAAGGGCAGUAAGUUAAUACCUUGCUGUUUUGACGGUACCAACAGAAUAAGCACCGGCUAACUUCGUG
rnacentral:rRNA from 1 species